UCCGUAGUCAACAUUGCUUAACAUGAAAAGUAUGUGACUCUGUCUAACUGUUACUCUAGUCUAUGAAGCCUCUAAUGAAGUACUAAAAAUACUGACUGUCUGUAAAUACUGAAAGACUGUAAAGUAAUGAUAAUGCCCUGAAAGAACUAGGGCUCACCCAAUAGCUGGUACGAGAAUCCUAGCGCUCUGAACCGUCAACUUGUAAAUCAUUACCUGCAUCGUGAGAUGCAGGCCCUGGGCAAAAGGGGCAUCAGUACAUUUAAAUUGCACUGGUAUGUAAAGCAACUGAAAGAAAGAACUAUAAAUACUGAAACUGAACUGAUAACUGAGAACUGAUAACUAAAAUGAUAACUACUGAAACUGAAACUGAGCUGAUAACUGAUGACUGAAAUGAUAACUGUUGAAAAUGAAACUGAAAUGAUAAUUGAUAACUGAACAAAGGAAGUAAGGAUAUGAAUAUUCCCUCUUCUGAAUGAUGAACCACCUGUUUAUCUAAAUAAACUACGGCCUCGGGCCCAAUAUAUAUGUGCACAAGCUACGGCCUCAGGCCCAAGUAUACGUAUACAUAACUACGGCCUCAGGCCCAAACAUGCAUAAAGCAUAAACUAUGGCCUCAGGCCCAAAUACAUGUGUUCAACAUUCAGGGAUUUAAAUUCAGGAACAGAGAAUCAUAUUGUAAUAUGUGAUGCUGAAAUAGUGAAUCAUAUUGAGUUACAUGAUACUGGAAUACUGAAUAGGACUAGACUGAGACAUGUAUUCUUGAACUGAUUAUGAACACUGAAACUUUAAUUGUUUAUGACAUGCUGAGUAAUCUAGAUUGAGACUCAUGGGCAUCAAACCCGAGUCUAUAUUGAUUACGCACUGAGCUCACAACGUUCAGAAUGAAAGUCAUGAACGAGUUACGAAGUUAGGGAAUAGAAGUUCUGAAACUAUUCAAGGAACUAGGCAUAACUAUAUAUUUCUGAGGCAAUUAGUAACAUUGUAAAAAAAAAUAUAGUGUAGGGAGAAUCAUUAACAUUCCCAAACAUAGAAAGUUAGCCUCACAUACUUUGACUCCGGUCCUUUUAAGUGUAUCACAAUGUUCGUCGCCUCUUUCAAUGAUAAUCUAUGUCAAAAUAUAUCAAGAGGAACCAAUAUUAACACUAAUUCUCGUAUUUUAGUCACUUAGGCAUUUUAUCAAACACCUUAUGGGCGUAAAGCCUCAUAGCCCUUAGUAAUUGGUCUUUUCUUCACCAAGUUCUCAUUCUACUACUUCUAGGUGAUUCUACAAUCCCAAAUAGAUGUAACUAAUACCAUUUUUCAUCACCCAAAUGUUUACAACAAUCAUAAGUCAACAACCCAAAAUCCUAGCAUAGUUCAUAUGGUUCUCUUUAUCAAACCCAUUUACUAUUCUCCCAAGAAAUCAUCAAUUCAUAACUAUAAAUGAUUAGUGAGUAGAAACAUUACCUUUUUUGAAGUUCAAUCCUCUUGAAUUCGAGUUCUAGGGUUUCUUUUUUGAACAAUAAUGUCUCGAUCGAAUAUUUAAUGAUUUGAAGGAUUUACCCAGGUUAAUAAGGUGUUGGAGAAUUGAAAUUAACUUAAAAUCAUCUUUAGAACUCACCUUGGAUGAUGGAGGGAGGGGAAGUUGGGUUCUUGAGAGAUUCCCUUUAUUGAGCAAACUUACGUGUUUGAGGUGUGGGGGACGAGGUAGGGUUUAAAUAAGUGUACGCGUCCCAAAAAUUGAGGAGAAAAUAAAAGUAGCUCUGAUAAACAUCGUCGGCGCAGGGCAUCAUCUGAGGUGCUAAAAUAACUGUGCAAGGCGCCAUUAGAGGCGCCAAAACUACAGUGCCUUGCACUGUCAGUGGCGCUAAGGUUAAUGCCCUAGACAGUGCCUUGCACUGUCUAUGACCGUAAAUUUUCAUGGCCUUGCACUGUCUAAGACUAUAAGACGGACCUCCCAUAAACUUAGUCGAUUCUAUCGAAUUUUAUACACCUCACUCUCAGUCUUGAUUCCAAAAUAACUGUUUCCAUCCAUACUCAUC
rnacentral:lncRNA from 1 species